GGGUUGUCAUGCCAAUGGCACUGCCCGGUAGCUAAAUGCGGAAGAGAUAAGUGCUGAAAGCAUCUAAGCACGAAACUUGCCCCGAGAUGAGUUCUCCCUGACUCCUUGAGAGUCCUGAAGGAACGUUGAAGACGACGACGUUGAUAGGCCGGGUGUGUAAGCGCAGCGAUGCGUUGAGCUAACCGGUACUAAUGAACCGUGAGGCUUAACCUU
rnacentral:rRNA from 1 species